GCUGGGCAUGGGUGGACACGGUGCCUGGUAGUCCCAGUACUUGGGAGGCUGAGGCAAGAGGAUCGCUUGAGCCUAGGAGUUCUCUAGCAGGAUCAGGUGUCUGCACCAAGUUUGGCAUCAAAUAUGGUGACCUCCCAGGAGCAGGGAACCACCAGGUUGCCCAAGGAGGGGUGAGCUGGCCCAGGUUAGAAACAGAGCACAUCAAAACUCCUGUGCUGAUCAGAAAGUUAAAGUAUCUUUUCUUAACCUCAGUUUCCUCGUGUGGAAAAUGAAACCUACCUCUG
rnacentral:SRP_RNA from 1 species